AGAAGACCUCGGCACCGUGGCCUCAGGGCCACGCAGAAGAUGCCUGCCCUUCCAGAUCCUUCAGUGGGGGGCAAAGGCUUUCAUUCCUCCAGCAGAGACGGGGCUGCAGUGCGAACCAGAGCUUCCUGACCUCUGUGCCAGUUGUCAGUGUAUCGGCAAACUGGCCCCCUCAGGGGUCGGGCACCUCGGCAGGACCUGGAGCCUCCCUCCUCGUCCCUCUCCGCGGUCCCUGAGGUGGUACAGGUAUUACCGUUCCCUGUGACAGCCAUGACAUGCAGACAGCCUAAAUGGCAGCAGACCGUCCUAGGGAGGAGAUUCUGGUGAGGAUGGGCCCCGGUUCCGCCAGAGGCAUCUCCGCCCCUCAGCUUUUUAGCCAGAGCAUCACUGCCCGCUGGCUGGCGGGGCGGCCGGGUGCAGGCCUGGGGGCUCUGCUCCAUGCCCGGCGCGCCGGGCGGACCUGAGCCCUGUGGGCCCCACUGAGCUUUAGAAGUGGCAAGUUCCCCCAUCGUUCUAACCACUCCAGAAUCCUCCCUGGCCGCUUUUCUUUUUCUGCACCUUCACCUUCACCCAAGGGUAGAGUUGGCCUCAGCCAGCAUCAGGCCCUCGCCCUUCUCUGGCCCUGUGCUGGGAGCUCAGAAGCAGGUGUGGGGAGCCCGUGGCUGUGGGGCACGGCCUCCCGUUAGCACGCCGCAGCAAGACUCCAGAACUGACAACCACGCUCGGCUUUGGGGGGUUUACAAAACACAUCCCGCCCCCCAAAAUUGCAGGGAUAUUUUAAAAUUCAAAUGGGUUAUAUUUUCUAAGCAAGAGCUACAUCGCUUUCCCCAAAGCAGUUUUCAGACAUUUCAAAAACGUUAGCUGGUGAGUCAGAAAUCUCCUUCUACUCUUUCUGUUUUCUCUCGCUCUGAAAAUACAUAUGUAUGUGCACAGAAGCACACGUCACGCUUGGAGGCGUAUCUUCUAGGAUGUAAGUAACAAAGGAAAGAGCGUGGUGCUUGGAAGAGACGGGUCUGUGCUCUGCAUCCCGGCACAGCGUUUAGCACGUUGUUACGUACCGAGCGUCUGUUGCCUGCACGUGCCCCCUCGUCUUCCCCUGUGCUCGCUGACCUGACCCGCGAGGCCGCUGGGCGGACUUCCCGCGCUCGCGCCACGUGCUUGGAGAGUUCCCAAGGCCGGCAAGUCAAAUGUUGCGGCCAGGUCAUCGCCUGUGUCCAGCAAAACGAGUUCGUAUCCAUUUAGGCCUGUUUUACUGCCCUUUGUAACAACUAUUGCCAAGGAGAAACGAGCAGGUUUGGGUACCACAAGGCAAAAUAAUAUUUGAAAUUUUAACAUAUGCUUAUUUCUGAAUAUUGUCAGCGCCCUGUUGUGAUUUGGGGACUUGUGUGUUAGUCUUCGAUCCUUCUCGCACAGAGUCCCGGAGGACCGGCUGCCCUGGCCUCGGCCUCGGGGUGCGCGGUCUCACUCCCCGUGCACAGAGGCGGCGUCCUUUGCACACGGCGAGGCUGAGCGGAGGCUCCGAGCCCGUGUGGCCUGAGACAUUCCAUCGCAGAGGCUCUCCUAGCAACAUGGCGACGCCAGCACACCCAACAAUGACCUUUUGUCGUUAGCUCUGUGAAGCCGGUGGCGUGAGUCUCACCAGAAAAUUCAAAGGAUAUUUUGCAAGCGAAGAGCGAUUUCCAGCUGAAGCUUUGAAUCGGUUGCUUCUCCUCCUAUCUGCAAAUAUCAAACUGGACCGGCACCAGAUUGUCGCUUCAAGAGCAGGACGUACCCAAAGAGCAGCCCAUAUGAAAGCAUUUCUGCAGGUAUUUCAUUAUUGAAACAAUCCAGCCGCUCAAUUGUGGAGUCGUGUUAGAAGGCUCUCAACUUGCAUUCUUCCGGCAAUCAGCCCACAGUUGGAUACCACGUCACCAAAAGAGUCAGCAGCCAAUGCCGUGUAAUAAUUUUGUGAAGAUUUGUUUAGUUAAAACUAGAUGAUAUCAUUUGGCAUAUUCCAAUGCACCGAGAAGAGCUCCCUGCAAGUGUUACAAGAUGCUGAAAGCAGGGGUGGCUUUGUCCCUUUCUUUCCUGCUGUGGAAUUAGGACUCUGUUUUCCACUGGACCGGAAAUAAGAAGAAAAAUGAAAGCGGAUCCACAAGCCAGGUCUGGUUUUAAUCAGAGCAUAAUCUUUAUGAGACAACGCAAGGCUGAGAAUUUUUUAAUCUGAUAUUUUGAAAGAAAAAUCCGUGUUCCAAAAUGAUACAAACCAAUCAGCCUUAGAAGAACGAUGGAAAAAAGAAAUCUCUUGCAUAAAAGAGAAGCAGGAAAUUCCAGAGAAGUUUCACAGGGAGGAGGGGAAAACCCAAGGUGUAAAGAUAAUUCAGAAGAAAAUACAAUGUUUUCAACUAACGCAGAUGAAACAGUUGGAUAUUCUUAUGCAAAAAAUGAUUCCAGUCCAAUCCUGGCACUUGUACGAAAAGCAGCGGGCCAGGGCACCCAGCUAAGGAAACUCCAGGCCGUGAGAAGCCACUGGAAGGCUGUGAGCAGGAGGAUGACAUUGUGACACGACCAAAGAUUCCAUAUGAUAUCACUUAUAAGUGGGAUCUUCAAAAAUGUAUGUUUUUAAUAAACUAAAACCUACGAUUAAUUCUGAGUGCUGAGUCAGGAUUGAAAACCAUGGGUAGGCGGAGGCUGGAAAUAAACCGGAAGGCAGUGCAAGAAUCAUCACCCCAUCUUACAGAUAAGAAAACAGGCCACAUCCAGCCGAAUCCCCCAACAGUGCUAAUGAGUGGGCUGAGUCCUCUGCUCUCAGGUGGCUUAACGCUCGCGUAGCAGCAAAGAGAAUUCAGCAAACACUCAGCUCCCACGUCCACUGCAAAUGGAGAAGUGCUCUGUGCCUUGCUUUUACCUUAAAGAGUCGGCUGGACUUCCCUGGUGGCGCAGUGGUUAAGAAUCCGCCUGCCCUUGCAGGGGACACGGGUUCCAGCCCUGGUCCGGGAAGAUCCCACAUGUUGUGGAGCAACCAAGCCCGUGCGCCACGACUACCGAGCCUGCGCUCUAGAGCCCGUGCUCCGCAACAAGAGAAGCCACCGCAAGCACAAGCCUGUGCACCGCAAUGAAGAGGAGCCCCCGCUCGCCGCAACUAGAGGAAGCCCGCGUGCAGCAACGAAGACCCAACGCCGCCAAAAAUAAAUAAAUUUAUUUUUUAAAAAGAGGUGGCAGGGCUUCCCUGGCGGCACAGUGGUUGAGAAUCCGCCUGUUGACGCAGGGUAAACGGGUUCGCGCCCCGGUCCGGGAGGAUCCCACGUGCCGCGGAGCGGCUGGGCCCGUGAGCCGUGGCCGCUGAGCCUGCGCGUCCGGAGCCUGUGCUCCGCAACGGGAGAGGCCGCAACAGUGAGAGGCC